rnacentral:lncRNA from 1 species
ACGGAGGAAGUAUAAGGGACUUUUGUUCGACCGGGCAUGAUAUAACAAAACUGUAAAAUUAUGUUGACUCCGAUAGUCGAGAACAAUUGUACCUUUUCUAAUUGGAAAUCAUGUGACAUUCCACCCCUAAAACUACGACUAACUUUGAAAAGGUGCCAACAUAAAAAUCUAGCUCACUUUUGAGCCACCAUGAAAUCGGAUAAGUUAAGAAAACGACGUCUCCAGUUUAAUUGAUCAAAGAAGUGAUGUCUAGUAGAAAUGCUAUGAAACGACUAAAUUACCCUUUAAACAUGAUUAUUUAUGAGAUGGUUCACACACAUGUUUGCGUGUUGAAAAAAUUAACAGCGCUAUACUUUAAGUGGUAGGCGACGUGCCCAUUAACAACAAGGCGCCUAUGAUGACUUCAUCAAUCUCAAAAUUUGCCGGUCCAACUCGGUUCUUCAGAGGUGCUCAUAGGAAGGAGUAGGGGGUGUGUGCGUGCGUUCAUAGGGAUGAGUGUACGCUCGUGUUUGUGAGUGUCUGCGUCUGUAACUGGGUCUCACAAAAAAAACUAGGUUAUUUUUUAAUUUAAUAUUCAUUUGUCACCCAAACCAAUUAUAGUGGUUAUUUACUCAUUCUGGUGCUUUGGACAGUAUUAUUUGUGAGAUGUACGUCAUGUCUCGCAUAAGAUAUCGUUGCACAUCCAUUAAGAUAUCUGUUGUCCCUUCUCUGUCUGGAACAACCUUUUUUAAUGGUAGGAACAAAAACCAUUUUACUCUAGGGAGAAAAUUCGUUGCAUCCGAGAAAAACAUGUUUAGUGAAAACAUGUAUAUUGCCCUGGUACUUGGCCAAAAUUCCGAAAACAAAUAAUUUCAAAAGUACAUGUUUAGUGAAAACAUGUAUAUUGCCAUGGUACUUGGCCAAAAUUCUGAAAACAAAUAAUUUCAAAAGUAUUUGGUCCACAUGAAUUUUUUUCUUGAACACACAAAAGAUUUUUGUAUCAAUUGUAUUAAGAAGAAGAGUUUGAACUUACAAACAACGCGUAUCUAUCGAGCGCCGAAGGAGGUCGACCUAGAUUCCUAGAACAGCCAUAGCUAAACCAUCCUAACAAGAAAAAUCAAGUUUCGAUAUUACAUAGAUGAAAAACAACCAAUACCGUCUCAGCAGUGCAACUCAGGAAGUGGUCUUGUGUCUUCGUAGCUUCCUGGAUGAACCGUUUCGACUGUCCACGAAGAGCGCAUCGAGUGCUUUGGCGUUGGAUGCAUUCAGUUUCCGUCAAAAAUCCCUUCAAAGGCCUCUAGAUCCGAUGCGGACAACGCUGAUGAAUCCUUGGUGUAGCCCAUACGAUGCAUAAUUAGGACCUCACCUCAUUUGGAGGCACAUACUCGAGAGAGACUUUGGGUUGCCAACCGCCUGCUCCGCCAUGAAGUAGUGCCUUCGCAAGCGGCUGCUUGGGUGGCUCACAAAUCAGCGAGGGGUCCCUCUUACUUUCUUGGUGAGGUUGUCGAGACGACGCUUGAAGGAGUCAUCGUUGUCCACAAUCUUGUGACCACCCACCACGGUGUAAUGUCAAGAUUAGUAUCCGACAUGAGGUCAACUGGACCGAAGUCUGGUAGGUAGCCCUCUUCGCCCACCGUGGGCGCAACAUUCAAGGUGGCGUUGAACACUAGCUACCUUGGCGUGACCUGUGUCACCAGGGGUGUGGUCGCUGGUGGUGGCGUCUGCUGCGCCCCUUAGGUGAUCACCACCGAGGCCUCGCCCCCAACUAGGUGAGCACGUGAGUUGGGUGCCUAGGAAGAGGGCAUGUGACGAACCGACUACUAGCGAGUGAGGCCGUGAGCUCCAUGAGCAUCGGGUCCUCCAUGAUGUUGUGAUCUAGUGAGGCACCUGAGUACGACAUCAGCAUUAGUGGCUUGAGCUUGACAAGGCCUGUCUCACUGGUUCACUCUCCAGUAGCGUCAAAGGUGUUGCCCAUAGCUGUGGGCACGUCCCCUGCCGACCAACCAUGGCGUCUUCGUCGCCUACGUCUGCAUCUGGGUCGAGCUCCAACAACAAUAGUAGUGGUGUCGCUCGACUCUUUCGAGCUGGCCGCUGUCGAUAGACUGUUGGUGCCUCCAUCAGUCGCUGUCGGUGGCUGUCACUGGCAGGAUCGACAGGUUGUUGUGGCCAACCACCCAUGCCCCCUACAAUGCCCAAGCAUCUUGAGUCCACGAACUAUGGCUGCUUGCAGUCAUGCGCAAUGUGUCGAAGACCCUUGUAGAGUAGACAACGAUGGGGUAGCCUCCAUGUUGCCACCCGAUGUGGAGGAGAGGCAAUAGAAGCACAUGUCGUGGAGAUCUACCAGUCAUGGCGAGGCUCAACUGAGGCGGCCACAGGUCCCCUCUCCUGUCAGGGGAGGAUCUUAUGCCACUUAUCGGCGUUGGGAGUGGAGACCCAUCCACAGCGACCAAGGUGUUGGCAAGCAAGCAUGCAACCAUUCUUCGGCUGAUGAGGCUGUCCACACACUAAUUGUGGGCGCAGCUAGCUGUGCUUCCUCCGUCUUCGCUAACGACUAGUGCCUACUCCAGCUUGCUUCUGUCUGUGGCUGGCCACUGAUCGCACCACAAUAGCUCAGACCCUCGGUUGGGUGAGGCUAAGGUUUCGUUGGACGCUGAAGAACAUCUAAGUACGUCGCUAUAGGUUGGCCGCCCUUGGAAUCCUCAACGCUAGUGUUGUCUACCCAACGAGGACAUGAGCAUUUUGAAAGACACUUUUAAAACUUCAUAAAUUUCAUAAAUUUCACACCUACUCCUCACUCAAAAGCUUUUAAUACUACAAUUGAGUUUGACCUGUUGAACCUCGAUUGGGGUGUCUGGAUUUAGAAAAGGAGUCACUCCAUACUUGCCGAAUUUGCGGCAAGGCUUGGGAGACAGGUUAGUUGGUCGAGGGCUACGGAGAUCAAAUUUAGAGCAUCUCUAAGAGUUUUGUAAAAUAGUUUCCUAAUUUUUAUAUUUAGUAAAAGAAAAAGAGUCUUCUCUAACAGUUUGAUGAAAUAGCUUAAAAAUAGAAAAUUGUAAUAUCCUCUUCAUCAACUCAUAAGUUUCCGCACUCACACUCCAUUUGGUGUUUUUCUCAGGAGAUUGGGGUAAAUUGGACAUAUAAGUAAACUAAGAAAAUAAUGUGUUUCAAGUGAGAAAACGAUAAGAGCCAAAGAAACUAUUUAAAAAGGUUUGGUUGAUUAGAAAUAGUUCAGGCUCCUAAUGCAAAAUCAUUUAGGAAGCUAAUAUUGGAAAUUAUUGGAGAAGAAAAUAAAUUGAGGUCGCUACUUAUUUUGUUAUCUCGCUAAACUUAUUCAUUCACUAGCAAGUUAAUUAUAUGAAGCACCUAGAAUUGCUCUUAUACACUGUGCAGGGUGCUAAUGGUUGGAGAGGUAGAUGAUCCACUGGGGAGUUGUGUUGACAGUGCAAAAUUAGUUUGUUGGUAUAGUAUAGAGUCGUAGAGCGUGGAGGGAUCGGACGAUGGUGUAGUACUCCCUCUAUACCCAUAAAAUAAGUUGAUUUGGACAAUAACACGGUUUCUAAAAUCUAACUAUGACUUCUUAUUUUUGUAAAAACAUUUAUCAAAAAGUGGUAUAAAUAUAUUUUUAUGAAAGUAUGUUUCAAGAUAAAUCUAUUCAUAUGGUUUUUAUAUUUUCAAACUCAACAACUUAAAAAUUAUUCAUGAUUUAUAUUCCCAAUAUUUGAUUCAAAUCUUGUCCAAAACAACUUGUUUUAUGGGUAUAGAUGGAGCAUGUAGUAUUAGGAGAGCCUUCGACGACAGGUGGAUGAGGAGUUAGCUACAAACUGUGCAGAGUAAAAAGGGACGUGUUGUAGCGAACUGUGUUGAAGUAAAGUGGAAGUCCCCUUUGUUGAACCUGUUUUCCUUCUUUUAUUAGUAAAGUCAGUACGUAGGGAUGCCCCCCCCCCCCCCCCCCCCCGAACUGCUACUAUAUAAUAUUGAUCAAACGAGAUCUCUUCCCUUCGUUAAAAAAAAAAGAGAUCUCUUCCAAGCUGUUAAAGUAUAUAAGUGAAUACUCAGUUACGUUUGACGUAUUCGAUUGAAUUAACCGGCUUAUACAACUUAAUAUGACAUCAAAAUAUUAAAAGGUAUGUUGGGUAGCGCGAUCAAAUUACUCCACGUGAAUUUGUCAGCUCCACUCAACUCAAAUCACCUAAGGUCUUGUUUGGAUGCAUGUAUAUCCACUUCAAUCUAUAUGUAUUGAAUGAAGAGUUUCAUUCUAAUUCACUCUAAUCUAUGUAGAUUGAGCAGAAUAUAUGCACAUCUAGUCCACUCUAAUCUAUGUAGAUUGAGCGGAAUACAUGCACAUCUAAACAAGACCAUAGGAUAACACCACCGUAGAACAACACCUCUUCUAGAAUCUGGAGUACUUAUAUUAUACUAACAGAAAUAGUGGUCACCAAAUAAGUCACGUGGUGCCAUUUUUGGGAUAUAUAGGGGAGAAGAGUGUAACGUCUGCGUUCAAAAUCUGAGUUCAAUGCACCACAUUAAAAUGCCAUCUACUACGUGCAAUGCAAAUAGAGGUAGGUGCUGCGAAAUGGAGACCCCACUGCAUGCGUGCACACUCCUCCUACUACUAUACAUUGCUAACCUGGCGAUCGAUCGAGAGUUCCAUCGUCCCAAACCUACCCUGGUGGACAGAAACGUGCGCGCCAACAUAAACCGCAUCAAGACGACACGAUGAGUUGGGGUGCGCACGGUGAAAAGCUAAAAGCGCUAGUCCAAAAAGCGGCGACGGCGACGCGAGAACGGAAGACAUGAAAAUGAACACGAGUCGCGGUGGAACUGGAACACGCGCGUCGAGGAGAGCACGCACGGAUUCUGCCUGCCUGCUGCGCGGUGCGCGCGCUGAUCCUUAUCCAAGUCCGCGCCGGAGUCAGUGCGCCGACGACGGAGCGGAAGCACGGCACGUACGACAGCGAGACAUCCGGCCUCAGCGUUCCAGCAGCGGAUCGGAGUCAAACGUCGCCGCCUUGGCCUUGCCCCACCCCCCCCCCCCCCCCCCCCCCCCCCGGCCCAGGCUAAAGUGGAGGGCUGGGCUCACCCAAUAACCAUGCGCGUGGAUCACACGAUCGAUGCCGUGCAGCGCUGGCUUGGCCCUGGUCCCGAUCGCCGCCGGCCACUGGCCACUGGCAGCGCGCGCGCGCGUUCUGCGUUCGUCUGUGGUCUCCACGCACGCGCAUUACUGCAUUUAGCAUACCUGCAUUUGCGAGAAUAGGAGUUGGUAGUAGCAUCUUUGUCAAACACUCUUAGUCUUAGGACCCUGACCAACCGUAGCAUUUUUUGCUUCUGAGCCUGUGUUUCGCGUGUCGCCCACUGAUAAAACGUGUUCGUCGGUAAAAGAAGGGAAUUCUGAACAUCCAUCCCUUUUGUGCACUCCACACUGCUACACUAGUACAGAGGCAUUUGGUCACUUGCUCAAAAUGAAUAAUAAUCUCGGCCCAAUCAGCGUCCAGAACAAAAACAUAUUUAGUCCCGGUUGGUAAGACCAACCAGGACUAAAAGUCCCCUGUCCAACAGCUAUGGUGUCAGACAUCGGCAGAGGGGACCUUUAGUCCCAGUUGGUCUCACGAACCGGGACAAAAGCCUAGCCUUUAGUUACAAAUCGGAUUAAAAGCUGUUGUCCCUAUCCGUCUCACCAGCCGGGACUAGUAUUGGAAUUUAGAUCCAGUUUUUAAAAGGAACUGGGACUAAAUGUCCUUCUCCAUAUUUAAACUCUUCUUCCCCUGGCCGAGCCCAUCGAUCUUCACUCUUUUGCUGUGUUCUUCAUUUGGAGUUGCUUGUUCUGGCUCUCAUCUCCGGCUAUUGAUUCAUUUCAUCAUUUCUACGCCGUCAUCGACUUGUUAAUAGGUCACUAGCUUAAUCUUCUCAACAUUUAGCAGCGGCAUAUGUCAUUUCCUAGUGUUAUGUAUAUUGUUUUUUAUUUUAUGGUUUUUUUAAGAGGUUAUUAGCUUCAUCGUCUUCUCAACAGCGACACGUUUUUUUAGAGAAAUAGUGAUAAUAUGUUUUUUAUUUUAUUUAGUUUAGAAAAAAAUUAAAAUCAUAUAAUACUUUAAUUUGCAAUUUUUGACCGAUUUAAUUAGUUAAUUAUAACUAGCAUGCAUACCACAUUUCAUGAUUAUUUAGGAAAAUAGAGAAUUUUUGUGCUUUUUUUAAUUUUGCUUGUUUAGAGAAAUUAGAAAUAGAGAAUUUUAGGUUUUUUGUUACUUUAAUUUCUCUAUUAAAAAUUAAAAACUUAUAAUACUUUAAUUUGCAAUUUAUGACAAGGUUAAUUAGUUAAUUAUAACUAGUAUGCAUACCAUAUUUCAUGAUUAGUUAGAAACAUAGAGAACUUUUGUGCUUUUUUAAUUUUGCUUGUUUAGAAAAAUUAGAAAUAGAGAAUUUUAGGUUUUUUGUUACUUUAAUUUCUCUAUUAAAAAUUAGAAACUUAUAUUUCUUUAAUUUGCACUUUAUGACAUGGUUAAUUAGUUAAUUAUAACUAGUAUGCAUGCCACAUUUCAUGAUUAGUUAGAAAAUAGAGAACUUUUAUGUCUUUUUAAUUUUGCUAGUUUAGAAAAACUAGAAAUAGAGAAUUUUAGGUUAUUUGUUACUUUAAUUUCUGUAUAAAAAUUAGAAACUUAUAAUACUUUACGUUGCAAUGCAGACAAUGACACGUCAUUGGAUGUACAAUGCCGAUCGCCGCUCCAAAGAAUUCAUUGAUUGUGUGCAUUAUUUCUUAAGAGUGGCCGAGAAAAACAAGCGGGAUGGAUUCAUAUGUUUCCCAUGUGCCUUGUGUCAGAAUUUGAAGGAAUAUUCUAUUCACUCACAUUUGUUGAAGUCGGGUUUUAUGCCAAACUAUAUUUGUUGGACCAAGCAUGGAGAAAACGGGAUAAUGAUGGAAGAAGGUGAAGAAGAACAGUUGGAGCCUGACGACAUUAUUGCUCAAUACGGUGACUUCGGUGAUACAACAAUGGGAGAAGCUGAAGACGAGGCAGGUGCAGAAGGCGCAUCUGUUGAAGAUGAUGCUCUUGGUGAUGUCAUUCGUGAUGCACAGAAAGAUUGCGAAAGUGAAAAAGAGAAGACAAAGUUUGACCACAUGUUAGAAGAUCACAAGAAAUUACUAUACCCAUCUGCCCAGGAUGGGCAAAAAAAACUGGGUACAACACUGGAGGUGUUAAAAUGGAAGGCACAGAAUGGUGUAUCCGAUAAGGCAUUUGGGCAAUUACUGAAGAUCCAAAAAAAAUAUUGUCGAAGCCUAAUGAACUGCCCACUACUACAUACGAAGCAAAACAGAUCGUCUGUCCUUUGGGAUUAGAAAUCAAGAAGAUACAUACAUGUCCUAACGACUGCAUCCUAUACCGUGGCAAGGACUACGAGAAUUUAGAUGAAUGCCCCGUAUGUAAAGCAUCACGGUAUAAGAUCAGACGAGAUGACCCUAGCAAUGUUGAGGGGGAAGAACGUCCCAGAAAAAAAUCCCUGCAAAGGUUAUGUGGUAUGCUCCUAUAAUACCACGUCUGAAAUGUCUUUUUAGAAAUAAGGACCAUGUAAAAUUGUUGCGGUGGCACAAAGAAGACCGUAAAGUAGAUAACAUGUUGAGACACCCUGCUGAUGGGUCCCAGUGGAGAGCAAUAGACAGGGAAUUUCCAGAGUUUGCAAAAGACGCAAGAAACUUAAGGUUCGCUUUAAGUACGGACGGUAUGAAUCCUUUUGGUGAGCAGAGCAGUAGUCAUAGCACUUGGCCUGUUACACUAUGUAUCUACAACCUUCCUCCAUAGUUAUGCAUGAAGCGAAAGUUCAUUAUGAUGUCGGUGCUCAUCCAAGGCCCGAAGCAACCAGGCAAUGACAUUGAUGUCUAUCUAAGGCCAUUAAUUGAAGAACUCCUUUUAUGGAGUGAAACAGGUGUUCGUGUGUGGGAUGAGUACAAACAGGAACACUUCGACCUGCGAGCACUGUUGUUUGUGACAAUCAAUGAUUGGCCUACUCUAAGUAAUCUUUCAGGGCAGACAAACAAGGAAUAUAAUGCAUGCACACACUGUUUUGAUGACCUUGAUAGUAUAUAUUUGAAAAAAUGCAGAAAGGUCAUGUACCUUGGGUAUCAUCGAUUUCUUUCUAUGAAUCACCCAGUUAGAAAGAAAGGAAAGCAUUUUAAAGGUAAGGUAGACCACCGAUGCAAGCCUCGCAAUAGAACUGGAGAAGAUGUAUUUGAGAUGGUUAAGGAUGUGAAAGUAGUUUUUGGUAAGGGACAAGGCAGCCAACCAGUUCCAAAAGAUGCAGCAGGUCAUGCACCCAUGUGGAAGAAGAAGUCAAUAUUUUGGGAGCUAACCUAUUGGCAAGUCCUAGAGGUCCGAAAUGCGAUCGACGUCAUGCACCUAACAAAAAAUCUUUGUAUGAACCUUCUAAGAUUCAUGGGUGUAUAUGGUAAGCCUAAGGAUUCACUUGAAGCACGACAAGACUUGCAACGCAUGGAAGAACGAGACAACCUGCAUCCAGAGAAGACAGAUGAUGGACGCCAAUAUUUAAGACCUGCUAGCUACACUCUUAGAAAUGAAGAGAAAGAAAUCAUAUUUGAAUGCUUAAGCAGCAUCAAGGUCCCAUCUAGAUUCUCCUCUAAUAUAAAAGGUAUAAUUAAUGUGCUUGAGAAGAAAUUUUUGAACUUAAAGUCGCAUGACUGCCAUGUGCUUAUGACGCAAUUGCUUCCAGUUGCAAUUACGUCUAGCCACCGUAAAGCUAUGUGCAUUCCUCAAUGCAAUUUCUAAGAAGGCAAUCAAUCCACUAGAACUAGCUGCUUUACAGAAUGAUGUGGUUCAAUGUCUUGUCAGCUUUGAGUUAGUGUUCCCUCCAUCCUUCUUUGAUAUCAUGACACACCUCCUAGUUCAUCUAGUCAAGGAGAUCAAUAUUCUGGGUCCUGUGUUCCUACAUAAUAUGUUUCCCUUCGAGAGGUUUAUAGGAGUUCUGAAGAAAUAUGUGCACCAACGUGUUCGGCCAGAAGGAAGCAUCGCAAAGGGCUAUGGGACAGAGGAGGUCAUUGAGUUCUAUGUUGAAUUCAUUCCUGAACUUGACCCAAUUAGUGUUCCUGAAUCGCGACACGAGGGGAGACUGAGUGGAAAGGGAACACUAGGAAAGAAAACAUACGUCGGUAUGGGGGACGAUUCUUUCAAUAAAGCACACUACACAGUUCUUCAAAACUCAUCCGUGGUGGAGCCGUAUGUCACGAAACACAAGGACUUCCUACGAUCCCAAUUCCCAGAGAAGAAUGAAGCUUGGUUUAUGCGUCAGCACAUAGACACUUUCAGUGAUUGGUUACGAAAAGAAUGUCAGGGUAAUGACCAGAUUGAUGAGCAACUGUAUUUGUUGGCUAGGCAACCAUCAUGGCACAUCCUCACGUACAAAGGGUACGAGAUAAAUGGAAAUACAUUUUACACCCUAGGCCAAGAUAAAAAAAGCACGAACGAAAAUAGUGGAGUUCGCGUAGACGCCAUAGACCCGAAUAGAAACAGACAAACAUAUUAUGGUCGUAUAGAGGAGAUUUGGGAACUAGACUACGGACCUAAUUUUAAAAUCCCUUUGUUCCGAUGCCAAUGGGUGAAGGUUACCGGAGGCGGGGUGACAGUUGACAAAGACUAUGGAAUGACAACAGUGGACCUCAACAAUGUUGGUUACAAAGAUGAACCAUUCGUCCUUGCUGCUGAUGUGAAUCAGGUGUUCUAUGUGAAAGACAUGUCUACAAAACAGAAGAGAGUGAAAAAUGACAACAAAUCAAUAAAUGAGCCAAAACGCCAUAUAGUUCUCUCAGAGAAAAGAAACAUUGUGGGAAUUGAGGACAAGUCAGAUAUUUCAGAAGAUUAUGAAAGGGAUGACCGAAUCACGCCUUUCAAUGUGACCAAAGAUCCGAGCAUACUGAUAAAUGCCGAGGACACUCCAUGGUUACAAGAUCAUGACCAAGGAACAUACGUCAAAAAGAAGAUCACUAUUGUGCUCGCCUAAUAAAUAGAUUGCAAUAGAGUAUGUGUAUGUCACAAUUGUAACUUAAGAUGUUUAUAUUAGUUUUUCUUAUUUUAUAUCAUUUCAAAUAAUGAAAUGACAUUUAAGUUUGCUAUUAUAAGAGAUGUGUCAAUUGUUUGUCAAAUGCAAAAAUAGUCAAACUUGGUCAAAUAACCCAUUUGAUGACUUGAAAUGAAAAAAAUUUGAAUACAAAGUUGGUAGAGAUCAUCAAGAUCUACAUUUGAUAUAUUGUCCAUUUUUCCAUUUGGAUAAAUUUGAGCCAAUCCUAAGCACAUUUGUUCAAAAUCCAAGACGGGUUUUGGUCACACUUGGUCAAAUGACAAACUAAAUUACUUAAAAUGAAAAAUUUUUGAAUACCAAGUUGUUAGAUAUCAUCAAGAUCUAAACUUUUUAUAUAGACAAUUUUUCCAUUUGAGAAAGUUUAAGUUCACAAUACCCACCAAUUCUUGAAUCUCACACAAACUAUAUGAAACUAUAUGUGUCAAUUGUGGAUUUUGAACUACACCUUCCCAACACUUUGUCAAAUGCAAAAAUGGUCUAUAUAUUAAAUGUAGAUUUUGAUGAGUGCAACAAUAUUGGUAUUCAUGACUUUUCCAUUCGAGAACAUCUAGGGUUCCGAAAACCGAUGCGUGGCUAUGAAUUUUUUCAAAAUUUAAAAUUGAGCGGUUCAAACUUUUCCAAAAGAAAAGUUGACCAUUAGACCAAAUGUAGAACUUGAUGAGUGCAACAAACUUUGUAUUCAUUACUUUUCCAUUUGGGACCAUAUAGGGUUCGGUCAAAGUGUGUGUUUCUAAAAAGCAAUGCUUUGACUUUGGUCAAACUUGGUCAAAUAACCCAUUUGAUGACUUGAAAUGAAAACAAUUUGAAUACAAAGUUGGUAGAGAUAAUCCGAUGUAAUGGAGAAUAUUGUUGUAAGCAUAAAUAAAUAAGAAAUAGAGAAAAAUCUUUAAAAAAUAAUCCGAUGUAAUGUUGAAUAUCACGUAUAUCAUGAUUUUGGAGAUAAAUGAUGAUAAAUAAACAAAAUUUAUGUUUAAAUAAUGCAUAAACAAAUUUUCUAUCAAAAACAUAUACUUUAAGAUAUUAAAAUUAAAUAAUACAUUUUUGCACUAACAAAAUACUAAUUAUUUUUUAUAUUUAAGUUUGCUAAUAUAAGUGAUGAAAAGAUUUUAUGUUUUCAAAUUUAUUAUGUAAGCAAUUAGGCAAAAAGAAAUGGAACUAUUAUUUUUUAACAAAUUAAUACCUAUUAUUCUAUUUACUAUGCAAUUAACAACAUUAAUCUAAUUAUUAUAAGCAUAAAUAAAUAUGAAACAACAAAAAUACAUUUAGUCCCGGUUCCUGGCUAGAACCGAGACUAAAAGUUGCCUUUAGUCCCGGUUCUAGCCAGGAACCGGGACUAAAAGGUGGACCUUUAGUCCCGAUGCGUAUCACCGACCGGGACCAAAACUCAAUCAAUAUCAAGAACAUGUCGUUAGCAUGGGGUUUGGUUAGGCUUGGUUGAGUUUGUAAGAAAAGAUAGUAGGUUGAAGGGCUUCAUUGAUCAGUAAACCUACGGUGCUGGUAAGGUCGGGACAGUGGUCCGCUUUGCUGGCCCCCGGGACUAAAGGUCUCCGCGUGUAUAUAAGCAAACAGUCGUCUUUCUCCUCGAUCUAGUUCGACUGAGCCCUAGUUUUCCUCCGCCGCGCGCCGCUCCCUGCCGUCGCAUCGCGCCCUUGUCCCCGGCCAAGCGCCGUCGUCGUCUCGAGCCCAGGAGCGCCGCCGCCGCCACCGCCGCCACCCCUCGUCCCCGGCCCGAGCCGAGGACCGUACGGAGCGUCGCGUCGAGCUCCGACGACCCGAGCCGAGGACCUUCUUCUUCUACGCGCGGCACCGACGACCCUCGUCCUCGGCCCGAGCCGAGGACGUACAGAGCGCCGCCACCGCCGAGCUCCUUGCACCGACCCUCGUCCUUGGCCCGAGCCAAGGACCCUCCUUGCGCCGUGCCGAGCUUCGAUCUUCUCCAGCCGGCACCGAGCAGUUAUUGUCGUUCCUGGCCAUGUUUACUUGCAAAAAAUUAUACAAAAUGUGAAAAGUAUGAUUAGUUAGUAGGGAUAGAUAUUGAGAUGAGAUGUAUAAUUUCUAUUUUAUAUUUUAUCUUUUGUAUUAUGUUAGCCCUUAGUUUAUGUUAGCCCUUAGUUGUAAUUAGUUUAUGUUAGCUCUUAGUUGUAAUUAGUUUAUGUUAGCCCUUAUUGUAGAAAUGGCCAAUCCGAAUGACAACAUGGAUGAUGCAAUGAUGGACCUAAUCAACAGCGGCGCCAAUCAAGAUUCCCAAGGCGAAGAUGAUGGGAGUCAGUACUUUGCUGAUUAUGAAGAACUUGUGGGCUAUGUUACACGGAUACUCCAAGAGGGAUGACGUAUCCGUAUCCGAUACUCGUCGGGUACGCGGAUACGGAUACUUGGAUACACCAUUUUAGUGGGUUUUGUUUUUAGAAAGUGUGUAUCCGCGUAUUCGAUACGUAUUGUAUCCGAUACUCGUACCCGUACUCGUGUAACGUAGCUUGUGGGAGACAAUCUUGAUGAGGACUAUCUACAAUCUAGUAUAUAUGUAUAUAUAUGAAAUUAAAAUAAAUGACAUUUAUACUAAUAUAUUUAUACUUGUUUGUGUAGCCCUCUAAAUCGGCGACAACUUCUAAGAAGAGUAGAAAAGUGCGCGGCCCGAAGAAGCCGUUGGAGGGUCGGUACAUUCUGUCGGAAUUUGAUGAGGGUACAGGACAAGUACUUGGGGCUAAUUCUAAAAAAUUUAUUACGCACUGUGGCUACCUUGUAAGGGACAGGCUCCCGGUCAGUGCUCGUGAAUGGAGGCAACGGAAAGAUAACCUUAAUAUUAGUUUUGUCUCAGAUCGUGAUAAGAAAUUAAUUUGGCUAGAUAUCCUUCAACAUUUCACGCUCGAUACACAGGAUGAAGCUUUGAAGGAGAAGGUUAAAAUCUGGGCUAUGCAGAAGAUGGCCAAACAAUUUCAGGCUUGGAAGAAGACAUUAUACAAGACUUUUGUUGCACAAGGCCGGACACCAGAUUUCACCAACAAGGCCUACGUCAAGUUGAGGCCUUUUUGGGAUGAGUUCGUAGAGUUUAAGAACUCAGAAGAGGGUCAGGCACGGAUGGUCAAGAAUCAGGAAAAUGCUAAACAAAAGCAAUACCACCAUCACUUGAGUUCAGGUGCUACAGGACUGCUAUUCCUAAGUGGCAAAAGCUGGAUUAGGAGAUUCUUGGAAGAGGGAUCGAACCAGAAUCAAUGCACUGGCCUGAGCGCGCCAAGUAUUGGUUCUUCGGUCACGGAGGAAUCAUAGACCUAGAGACCGGAAAGAUAGUGUACGGCGAAAAGCUCGAGAGAGUAGGACAGAGAAUGGCCUAUGCUAGAGGAUUAGUUGAAAGCGGCACCUGGCGGCCAAAUAGAGAAAAGGAUGAGCUGACAUACGCCCUGGAGACUGCUGAACACGGUGGGCGAACCAGAGGCUAUGGGGAGGUAUCGUGGGAGCAUGGCUUCCCUAAAGAUAGACCGAUUUAUAGAAGCCGCCAACGAAAGAAGAAAGAGGAAGCAGAGCGGUUGUAUAGGUUGGAGGCAAUGAUGAUGGAGUCACGCGAAGCGGCUCGUGAAGCGAUAGCGCGAGAGAAAGCGCUUGAAGAGAGAAUGAACGAGGAGAUCAAAAGACAAGUGCAGAUUGCAGUAAGUUCUAUACAAGGGAAAACUGCAUCAGAGCCUAGAGUCAACAUUAGCCCCCCGGUCAGUUGAAAAGUAGUUGCGCUUCCACGGAGAUGCCAACUAUUCAAGACGACGUGGGGCUGCACUUUCCGGUGGAUGACAUCACUGAACCUCUGACAACAUGUGAGCUGCACAUUCCACAGGGGACUGCCACAAUCAUGGUUGCUGUCGCUGUUGUAACUCCUGUCGACCCUAUGAGGACACCAAGAAUCCAUGGGGCGAUAGUUCCACCUGGAUAUGCUAGUGUCUCGGUGGAUAGAGUUGUCAAAGGCUUCAGUAAUGUGCAGCUUGAGAUAGAAGGAGGUGAUGGAGAGAAGACUCUAGGAGAAGCAAAGAAGACUUUUAUUUGUUGGCGCAAGCGCUACAUCAUUAUUCCUAGGGCAUCACCUAGUAGUCUACCACCACCUCCUCGUCAUGAACCUAAUCCUAGGUGCGGAUAAAAAUUGACUAUACAUUUGUUCACUAACUUUAUUUUACAUUCUCUUAGUUAGCAGUUUACUCAUAUAUCUUUUCGUUUCACAGGUGGUCACCAACAUGUCAUAGUACUGCGAGUGAUGACGAGGGAGUGCAAGACACGGCUGCAUCGCCUCGGUCUCCAACGCCACCACCUUAGGCUCCAACGCCACCACCUAGGGCUCCAACACCGCCACCUCGGGCUCCAACACCGCCACCUAGGGCUCCAACGCCACCUAAGGCUCCAAUGCCACCUCCUCGGGCUCCAACACCGCCACCGGCCACCCCAUCGCCUCCACAUGUGGCUCCAGCACGAAAGAAGAGGCCAGCCACACAAUCAAAUGUGUCAGCCGCCCCGCCGCCAAAAAAGAAAGCCUCCGAAAAGAAACAAGCUAUCAUUCCUAAGAAGCUGUCCUAUGAGAAGACUGAUGCAAAAAUAAAUGCUUCAGUAAAAUCAGACAUGGAUAGUUUCUUCAAGAAACUUAAGACUGAAAGAGAAGCCAAGCGAAACCCUGAGAAGCCAUAUCUCUUACUACGGCCAGAAGAUUUACGACAAAGGGUUGAGGCUCAACAAAAAAAGAGGCGUGAAGCUCAGAAAGAAUCAUCAUCUUUAUCGGACUAUGAUCGCACUUUAACGAAAUCCAUAGAAGAAGAGAAGAAGAAAGAGAAAAGAGCACGCAAGGGUAUAGCACAGCUCGGGGAACAAUCAAAGCAAUCAGUGCCUCCGCUAGUCAUUGGAAAUGAAUAUGGUUCAAACAUUGACGUGCUAGACCAGCAGAUACCGGCAGAAUUAAAAUUUGAUGAGCUUGAAUUUUUUUUGCGGAAACUAGUCUUAGCUUAGCCCAAAUGAUAGCUGGGGCACCAAUUGAAAGUGCUCCAUAAAUUGAUCAUUGGCAAAAGAAAUAUACAUAUGGCAAGAGUUUAUACAACCCUGCGGCCCUCAGCAAGCUUGGAACGCAAAUGUACAUGCUAAACAAAUGGUACAUGGCAGCGUGCGUCAGAAAAGCAGAUGACUAUCUUUGUGUCCGAAUUAGAAACUAUCAUUACUUCCGUGGUGAUGGUAUUAUUUAUGUUCAAUUUAAUGAGCUACACCAACUAUGUCACAUGGACGCUCUUGACAAAUCUCUAAUGAGUUGCUUCUGUCUGUAAGUGAUUCUUUCUUUCAAUAAUAUCACUGUAACUUAUCAUGUAUAUAUAUAACUAAUUACAGAAACCCGCUAUACAUAUGCAGAAACAUGAUGAGGGACCUCAGAGUUAGAAAUGACAAGGAGAUUGUAUUUGUGGAUCCAAAUGUUGUAUUCAAAGACCACAAGACCCCGUAUGUCUUAUGGAGAACUCAAACGGAGAGAAAUCUACGAAGGUUCUUGAUCAACUAAAAAGAUAAAAGAUAUAUACUCUUUUCCUACAACUUUAAGUAAGUGUCGUUAUCGUGUGUACAUUCUAUUUAACUAAUUAAUCAGAUCAAUAUGAAGAUAUAUACUAAUUUUGCCUACAUAUACACACAAAUACAACUUUCAUUGGAUACUAAUUGUCAUUGAUCUCUGGCAAUGUCAAUUGGUAAUCUAUGACUCGUUGAGAAAACCACGGGACGAUUACCAGAAAAUAAUAGAUAUUAUCCAAGGGUAACUCCGAUCUCUAUAUAUUAAAUUCUGCUCUUUUAACUUGGUAAUAGAUAAUUAAUAAUGAUCGUUUUAUUGCUAGGGUUUGGGCUGGGUUCAUAAAGAAACACCGUCCAGAGUUGAACGCAGCACUUUCAAAGCCCAUCUUACUUCAGUGGGUUCUACGGCAGACACCGGGCAACAAUUUGUGUGGCUACUAUGUGUGCGAGUUUAUGACGGUCUAUGCCAAAAGAACUAAUCUUGAGCACCUAAAAGUAUGUAACAUGUAUAUAUAAUAAGUUUAUUUCAUUUAUUUGUUGCUAUUUAAUAAAUUCUAUUCAUACCUCUAACUUUUUUCUUUAAUGUCUAUUAAAGGAGAUGUGGCUGAAGGAGCAGGUGUUGGAUGCUGUGCGCCUAAAAGGAAUUCAGGAGACAAUCGCAUGAUUUUUUAACGACCAAGUCCUGAAUCCCGACGGCUAGCGCUACUUCAACCCUCAGGAGCCGAUGAAACCAAAUAACGAUGAUCAUUUGUACGAUGCUUGAGUGGCGGAGAUAAAUUGUGUUGUAAAUACUUUGUCCGUGAAACAUAUGUGUAAAUAUUAUAUUAUGAACCUAUAGAUACAUAUUAUAUAUAUAGUGUUUUAUAGUAUAUUUAUAUGUAAUACUUUAAAUUAUAUAAAUUAUAGGUGCGCGUUUCAUAAAGUACCAGCAAACAAUACGCAUUCGAAAAUAAUAAUAACAUAAUUGUAAACCCUAAAUGAAAAACCAAAUGAAAAAAAGUCUUUAGUCCCGGUUGGUAGCAACAACCGAGACUAAAAGUGGAGGCCAGAUGACACACCCUGGCGCACCUUUUAGUCCCGGUUGCUGUUACCAACCGGAACUAAAGGUGGACCUUUUGAAACGAUCUAGAUUUUUUCACAAAGGAAAAAAUCCACAGAUUCGAAUUAUAAUAUAAUAAUUCAAAAAUUGAACCAUCGCAUUAUCAUAUAUCAGCUGUUAUCGUAGUCAUACAUCGUGAGAAACAAGAUUACAACACAUUUGCUUUACAACUCUUGGUCAACAAGCCUAUUACAUCGUUUUUCUAGCGGAAACACACGGGUCUUUAUCAGAGUCGAUAUAGCGCGUCAACGGUGAAGGCUCCUCCUUCACGGGCGAUCAUCAGAGUCGGCGUAGUUUAUCAGCGGGCGUAGCCUUCAUCUCCGAACCAAACUUGAGCGCAGGAACGAGACCACCUAAUUCUUCUAUUCUCCAUAGUUAUCGUCAUAGACCACGUUCAAAACCUGCUAAACAAUUUUUAGUACGAUUUGUACUGGCUACUGGCUCCCACCCUAUGCUUUUGCGUAGCUUUGUGGUAGGUGGAAAUGCAAAGGGUAUAUCAAAAGGCCUAUAUAUAUGGCUGUAGUUUCUCCUAUGCAAGUUCAUCAAUAUUUAAUAAUAAUAAUUCAUCAAGUUUUAUUCCAUCUCAUCCACACAUCCAUCCAUCCAUCCCAUCACACACAUCUCACCACACUCUCACUCUCUAGGCGGCAAGUACGACUCCCGCUCGUGCCUUGCCUCAACGGCCAACGUCAGAUCCAACACAAACCCAGGGGAAGGUAGAAGAGACUCCUCUCACUAGUCAAGCGAAGCGGAACAUAGGAAAGGUCCAUAGUGGAGAAAACGGCAUAUGUAUCGAUCGAUCAACCAAACUCUGCAGAGGUUUACACUAACCACAAGAUCACCAUCAUCGACGAACCGGCUCGUCUAGGCUGAUACCGGGCUGCCUUCCAACUAAAUACGAUGCCACCCUACCACUCAGGACUGGGGCCAUACCGGAGUACCACCGGCAUGCUGAGACUGUGAGGCGUAGUACCGGGCCCUCAAAGGUCACUACGCUGUCUUAGGAGGGUGUGGGUCCUCAUGCCCGUACCUCCCUACACUAUCCGCUAUCAACCUAGUAGUAGUGGCACCGCACUAGCUGGUCGUACAUCCGUCCCGCACCAUAAUAAGGCGAGUGGCGUGUAAAGCUUCCUACGAACUGGUUCUCAGAACAUCUCAGUCCUUAGGGUGACCGAACAGAACAUCUUCACGAGAGGCCAGCCGAUGCCCCUCUCGACGGGACACCCGGCUACCCCGUGCUAUACAGCACCUCCCAUCCCGGUGCUUCGUCCCACGAAGACACUCCACUCCGGGACCUCUCCCUGUCACAUGUACCCGCCACAGGUAUCUCUCGUGGAGAACGCCCAGGUAGCGUCCUCCGGCAAGACUUGUCCCCAGGACUCGUCGUAGAUCCUGCUCGGUCGACUCGACCCUCACCACACACCCAAGACACACGCCAAGAUCUCCCCAAGUCCAUUAUCCAUUUCUUAACCAGUUAUCGGCACCACGUGCCUUACCCACUCACAUCCAAUCCUCCACAAUGCAUCACAUCAUAGAUAUAAUGCGUAGUAGAAGCAGUAGCAAGUAGUAUGCAAGCAUCUAACCUAACAGCGGGUGUGCGAGGGUUAUAGGUUGCAACAAGGCAAUGGCUCACAAGCAUUUCUACCAUACAACCUAUCAUAGUUCAUUUGCAUAAAAGUAAAGCACUAGCAUCUACAAUAUUGCAUGUCUAAUAGGAUUCUACGAGGUUGGGUGGGACGUGGCACCUGUCGAGUGACAUUUCCAAGAUCCUCAGUUCACUUGUAGUUGUACUCAUCCAAGGUCUUUCUCCUAUCUGCAUGUCCUUCCUUCGACUGGUUCCGAUUCGAUCAUCGCUAAUCGAAGCAACUACCUCGUAAACGACAAUCAAGGCGAAACAAUCAAACUACUAGACCUCAAAAGACUGCGAAAAGAGACAAAGAACACUGAAGAACAACUACACUAAAAGAGUACCGAAAGGAUAAUGACUUAGCCCUCUCGGUGGAUGUCCGAUCCCUGGGCUAAAAGAAAUGAGAAUGGUUGUUUACUAAGUACAAGCUAGAGUCUUCGCCUAGCCGUUACUUCCCGGGUCGAUCGUGUCGACCUGUACGGCUUUAAUAACAAAGGCGUAGACCCUAACUUAUUCUAAGUAAACACCACGUCUUACGGUCUUCCGAUCCAAGUGUCUUAGAGAUCGACGGGAAUCGAAGAGACUACAAGCACGAGAAGUUCCGGUCUCUCUCAAUCCAUACGCCAUUGUAGCUGGCGAGAGCCAAGAGAGGGUGGAACAAAGAGAGAAGAAAAGGGGAGUGGUCUACUCCUUCCAAUCCACUCGCCAUGGUAAGAGGUGGGGAAUUAGAAAGAGUGACACACAAAGAACACGAGUGCUCGAGCUACUUGUAGGGUACCACGACCUAGGUACACUGAAUGCACUAAGACAUCACCAGGGUUCUUAGCGGUGCGGUUGUCACUGUGAGAACCAAAGAAAUGCUACGGUCGAAUAGGUACAAGCAUACAAGAGUUUAAGCACGAAGAACCAAAAAGGCGGGAAAAGACAUGGGAUUCACCUUCCUUUGAUCCGCUCGCCAUAGCAAUGGCGGGAAUCGCGAGAUUGGAAACAAAACACCAAACAAACAAAAAGGGCUCAACCCCCAUCUUACUGGAUCGACGGGGAUUGAGAACAAGAGAGAAGAAGAACGAAAUCACUCUUUCAUCCAACUCGCCAUGGAACAAAUGACAGUUGGAGAAAAAGAUAUAUGAGCCCACAAUCUACACCAACUCAUAACACUUCACGACCUAGGUGCUUCUGAAUCAGCACAAGGUCAUUCCUAUAGUUCCAGACGAUGCGGUUGUCAUCGCAGGAACUAGGGAAAUGCCCAGGUCUAGGUGGCAUAAGCAUACGAGACAGAUAAGAUAAACAUGCGAGAAAAAUAGAAUAGGCUCGAUGGCCAUGGCGAGGCGUCUCGCGACCAUGAGCUUCACCUAACGAGUUGGCUUCCGACUGUUCUACCAGGGUUGCUCCUAAUCUGUAUCCCACUAGACUAGAUCACAGAGAACUCGAAGGUGCGGGUAAGAACCGCGUCGAUAACAACAUCGAGUCCACGAUGACCACGUCUGAGGGACGGGAACAAGAGCUAACGACCGUAGCGCAACAAAGUCAACUAAACACAGGGAAUGAGUUAGGCUCGGCAUCGCGAUCACGGCGGGACGAACCCACGAUCGAAAUGAUCGAACGCUCUACCAUUUUCCCUAACCAGCUCGAAGGCUCGGUCCUCAGGCAUGCAAAUAACAAAAGAAGGAACAACGGAAAUACAAGAGAAGGGACAUGCUCGGCAUUACGGCCAUGGCGAGACGAACUCGCGAUCGCAACAUUCAAACACGUCACUCUCUCAACCGGCUCGACGGCACGGUCCACAACGACAAGAACAAAUACACAAAUUGCAACACUAACAAGACGACGACUCGGAGUAGCACAUUUCCAUAGCGACCAAAAGAGAUAGAGAUAGAUAAAUAAAUAGACCGGCACGAAGGCACGGCACAGGCAUAAAUAGAUAGAGAUAAAUCAUGUAUCGACAAGUGUAGAUAGAUGGAUAUAGACGAUAACUAACAAGUAUAUACAAAGGUACAAGAAUGAAGGGCAAGGGUUUUGCCGACGUCACGGAGGGCGUCAACUCAGUUCAAGGUUCGACCUUGGUGUGCCGAGGAUAGGCGUAGAUCAACUGCAAGCCUGCAGCUGGCCGGCUGUGGCUCACUGCGGCUGGCCGGAAUGUGCAGCAGGCAUCGGGAAGGCGUCACAUCUUCGGCAAAGGCACAACGAGGCCAAAGCUUCCCUGCAACCGCAGUAAAACACGGCACGAAGGCCGAUCUCAGCAAGGACAGUGGCAAUAUUAACGAUAAAGUGGAAAAGGGUAGAGCUUGGCCAUUGGUGGCUUAGCGUCGCAGCUGAGGUACUCGGGCGCCGUGGUUGCAGGCGACGUCGUGGCGGGAACGGUGGUCGCGGCUCCUGGUCGCGGACUGAGGCUGGGGCGGCAGCGCUCGACGGAGUGGUGGAGCAGGGCCGAGCCGGUGCUGACUGCGUCACGGGCUCGGCGAGGCCGUGGACGACGUCGCGGCGUCGGGGCAGACCGGCGUCGGGGUCGGGGUUGCGGUCACCCCGGCCGGCAUGGACGCAGUCUCCACGGCGCGGAGCUCCUACUCGGCGUCGCGGCGGGUUCCCGGGGCGAGGGCGAGGGCGCACGGCGUCUUGGGCGCGGCGAGGUCGAGGGUGCGGACGCGUCGGGGCUCGACGUCGCGCUCGGUGAGGCCGUAGAUGGGGAGGUGCUCGGCGUGGAAGCUCUGGUCGGUUGACGUCGUCGCUGCCUUGUCGAGGUGGCUCGUCGUGGCGCCGGAGGUGGAGCUCCGUCGGGGUCGGGGGCGAGGUGGUGCUUGGCGGCGUCAUGACGAGGAGGAGCUCGCGGUGCUGUCAGCGUCGGGGCUCUCCAUGGCCGGUAGGCCGUGCGUGGCGAGGCCUCGGUGCUGCUCAGCGGCGGCGCAGGCAGGAGAGGGUGGCGGCGGCGCCGGUCGGCUUUUAUAGCGCAGUGCCCUAGGGCUUCGUGGUGGGGCGGCCAUCUCCGACGUCCAUGCCGCGAGCAGGACACGCGGCGUUGAUCCGGGCACGCACGUCGAGGGGAGAGGGCAGGCGCGCGUCGCGGGCAUCGGGGCGCUGGGGUGCGGCGUCUCAGGCGGUGGCGGCUGCUCCUGGCUGGGGUUGGGAGUGCCCAGCUAGGGUUGGGGAGGCGCACAGGAGCUGGGCCGGCGGGGUUGCUUGGGCCGCGUCCGCGCUGGGCCGAGCGAGGCGGGGGAGGGGAGCGGGCCGCAGGCAGAGGGAGAGGAGUGGGCCGCGGGGAGAAAUGGAGGGAGAUUCGGCCCAAGAGAAAUGAAAAAGGAAAUCCUCCAUUUAUGAGCAAGGGAAUUUGAGGGAGAUUCAAAUAUAUAGAUAUGGAAUCGGACUCGAAGGAAUACGAUAGAGAUUUGAGAGGACUUUGCUACGGAUUUGUGCACUCCAAACCCUAAUUAAGACUCAACUCCAAAUCGACUCACGAACAAAGGCACUCGUCUACAAACAAUUCUAUAUGAAUGCGACAACUUGUUAGCGGGUUAGAAUCGAGUUAGACCUAAAAACUAUAUGUUUCACACGAUUACAUGAAAAAUUUUAAAAAUCUCGUAUUUUUGGUUUACGUAAAAGUCUGGGAUGUUACACCUUUAGGUUCCGGUUCUUGGAACCGGUACUAAAGGUGGAACAUUUAGUCCCGAAACCUUAGUCCCGGUUACGUAGCCGGGACUAAAGGCCCCUAAGGCCUAGGGCUAAAGCCCUUCCUGCUAGCAGGCAAGAAUAACGUACUUCCGACCCGUAGUAUCAUCAUACUAUGAGCGUUACCGAUCUUCUCGCGCGGCAGCGGCACUGAUCAGGUGCUGAAUCACGGCGAUCGACAGCAAGCAGUGGCCGGCUGGUUGGGCUGGCCACACUCGAGCGCGUGGCCGCGUGCAGGCCAGCCGGCAAGGGGCCGGGUGAGAGACAGAGCAGAUAAGGGGGCAGGCCGGAGCCGGGAACAGCCCGCCGCGACGUACGGGGGCCAGGCAGAGAGGCAGGUCGACCGACCCCGCCCCGCCCCGCCCGGCAGCCCGGCGACAGGAACGCCAGGCGUCCAGCGCUGCGUGCCUGCCUGCCGGUGCCGGCUCCAUCUGCUCGCUCUCCCCGCGGCAUCAUUUCGGACACGAACCCGGCCGCCGGUCACUCGAGCGGGCGAUCGAGUAGACGGACCGAGUAGCGAGUAGGCAGCCACGCACGCAAAGGGCCGUGUCUAGCUUAGCGCUUACUAGCUAGCCACUCAACUGAACCGGCGGUCCAACUCAGCACCCACCGCCAGCGGCCGGCGGCCGCGCCGGCGCCGGCCCAAGGCGAAUGGCGGGCGGGAGCUGGAGCGCUCGGCUAGCUGGACUCGAAAGUGACCUGUUUCCUUCAGUAGUGCCAAUGCAAGCUUGACAGGCAAUUAGGCAAACAAGUCUGGGAGUAGUGCUUUUCCUCACUCUUGAAUUUACCAUUUGCGUGCAAAGUACUACAGUCAGAAGUCAGAACAGUGCCCCCCGAGUCCCGAACUUUCUCGCGCCCAGGCCUAACCAGGGAUGGAUGGAUGCCCAGCUGUCUGUCAUGUGUCAUGCUGUCCACUGACUGUUUUGUUGGAGAGAGCCCCUCCAAACAGCUCAACUAAACUAAUGUCCAGUGCUUGUUUCCGUUGAUCCCAGCCACAGUGCUUGUUUCUGCUGAUCUCGGCCCUAGGCGUCCAUUGCCGAGGGUCCAUGCAUGCAUGUGCCAGGACAGCUGUGUCUGGCCAGAAACCAAACAUUCAGCGAUCGGGCACGGCACCAAAAUGAGCCAGCACGUCGUGUCUCCUUGCCCUGGGGCGUGCGCGCACGGCGGUCGGGACACCUUCAUGCCGGCGCGGCACCUGGCGCAUCAUUCUGCUCGACCCCUGCCAAGACGGACGCCGCCCAGAUUCAGAGGAGAGCAGCAGAGAACUUGUAGGAACCAACUCUGUGGAUGCCAUCGAUCUUCUGCUGCUCUGUCUCCGGAAAGCUUUGGCGUCGUAUGGAUCACGAAUUGUAUGAGUUAGCUGACGAAAAUUACCCUUCGCACAGGCUGUGAAACACAUUUUUGCCCCACAUUUUUGUUGUUUUACCGUGGCCAUGUCCAUGCCCCUCCACACGUCUCCAAAACCAACUUUGGGAGCCUGUCCUCUAGCACGACGUCCUCGAGCUUUUUGGGCAUCGCCUCGACGUUUUGGCGCCAUUCCAUGCCUAUCCUUAGCAUAUCUAUAGCCUCGCAAUCCUGCCGGUGACUACAGAUGUGGUUGGAAAUUUGACUGACGCUGAUGGGUAACAAAUCAACUCGUUGAAUUGGUUCUUUCACGCGAAAAAGACAAACUACGCAAAAGGCUAAAGAUUCAAACCAAAUGUUUACCGAGCUGUACGUUUUACUCGCAUGGAAUAUAGAUGAUUUGAAAACAGAAUGUACUGUCACUACUUGAAAACAGAAUGCUGGGCAGCUCAGCAGCUGUCUACUCUGCACUACAUCGCAAUACAUGUGCUAUUUCUAUUUCUCUCUGACCUGCAGUCACGAACUCGAUCAUCACGAACGCAACUAUACAUCAUAAACAACCAACAACCGAUCGAGUAUUCAACUUACAUGCACACAAUAGAUAGAUAGCGAGGGAAACACAAGAAUCUCGCUCAGUAAAAGACUGAAAACGACGAGAGCAAACGGAAGAGAAAGGAGGGCGAUUGUUCAGAGCUAGUCGACAACCACCGACCUGCUCAGCCCUGAAGUUUUGGCUUUCGGCCAUGCGCCAGAUGCUCAAGCAGAUCUCCGGACAUGAUGCUAGCUUGGUGAUGAGAUCUCUGGGACUUGGACGAUAUAGAUCUCGGUCGGGGCCACCCUGCCCAUAUGCCCCUCCGUGGGGAGGCCGGCCUAGGCGCCUAGCAGCCAUGUCCUUUGUCCUCGUCCACAUCCAACAAGUACGUGAUCUGCUUCAUGGAUUCCCCUAGAUCAACUUGGUUUUCAGCAAUGAUGCCCACACAGUCAUCACUGAAUCACACAACGAUUGUUGUUGCCUGACCAACGGGUUUGGCACCUGUCAAGUUUGAAAGCUGGAACACAUUUCGCGUCCUGCAGUGUGUUGGAGUGAUGACAUGUCAAUGCUGCGAACACCAAGGAGAUGGGUUGCAAUAGUUCAUAGAAUCGAUCGCACCUCUGGUCUGGUGAGCUUCUGGUGCCGGUGUAUUGUUUCCACAGCCUCACUGCAGACUGCACCCUCCUACCGUCCUACGUUGUGCUAUCUUUCUUGAUUGCAAGCUCCAGCCACCGACGUGAAAGUGGUGCCUGAUGCUGAUGACUCAGAUUAAAUUCUCAGCACCAUCUGCCAGCCUGUCUCAUUAGUGGUUUUAUGAAGAAGAGAACACAUCAGUUAAAGGACUCGUAAACUCUGCUCAUCGAAAGCAGACAUGCAUUCUGACUCUUGAAUAGAAGCAAAACAGAAAGAUAUGAAAUGGCAUAUGACACUUCAUUUCCCGUUCUUUAAUUGCUAUGACUAGUAAUCCUCCUUGAAUACUUGAUGGUGCAACAGGAUAUACAGAACAUCAUUCCUAUCAGUAAGAGAUUUAUAUCGACGAUCAUAGAUCUGACGUUAGUUAGAUAUUGCAAAAAUUAUGUAGUUAUCUAUACAUAAUAAUAAAAAGGUAAAACUUUUCACCCCCUCAUUUUUGGUCCGGCUAUCUUCUUUUUCUUUCCCGAGUCAUGAAUGCAUCCCUACAUCAACUCCGUCCCUUCGUAACGGAGUCCAUUCCGGAUGUCUAUUUAUGUACGUUUCAAUUUCUUUUUCUUUUAAGAACAGUUUUUUUUUUUCUAUUUACUGGCUGGUCCCUGGUCCCAUAUAAUUAAGGUAGAGAGCACACGUUCUCUCUUAUUUAUAUUUUGUUCUCUCUUUCCUGUAACGUUUCCUCUCUGAUCAGUUUCUCUUUUUUUUUACAAACUCGUAUUUAGAUAUCUCAUGAUUUUUUUCUUGUUUUUUAUGUUCAAGUAAUAAAUAUUAAAAUAGAAAUAGAAAGAUAGGAACAAGGGCCACCACAGCAAAGAGUUCACCUGACAUGCAAGCAAGCCACAUGCGUACCUGAAUCCGUGGGCUCUCGCAUGUGAAUUGAGCAGCCGCACAAAUUCAUUACCGUGUGGAAUAGUGCAUGGCUGCACAAAAAUCUACUCCGUCUCAAAAAAGAAUGACGUUUUUGACUUUUAGAAAUCGUGUUUGACCGUUCGUCUUAUUCAAAAAUUUUAUAUAAAUUAUAAAAUAAAUAAAUCAUUAGUAAAGUAUCUCUAAUAAUAAAAUAGGUCUUAACAAAAUAUAUAAUAUUUAUGUAAAAUUUUUGAAUAAGAUGGAUAAUCAAACAAGAUGUCUGAAAUUCUAAAACGACACUCUUUUUGGAUGAAAGGAGUACACGUACAUGGUACACAAGAACUUAUAGCCCACUUGUUUGUCUCACGUAAUAAUUUCUUGAUUCUUGUGCACAACCUGUUUCUCUUCUUUCUCCUCACCUCUCUUCUAUGUAUCAGCAUAUAACCCACUUAUAGCCCAUUAUUAUGACGGCUCUUAGGCCAGGCUCAAUCUAUAGUUUCAUGUCACAGUUAACAAAACUAUAAACUAGGUAACUGAGCCAUAUGAGUUUUAUGGGGAUGAAACUCUUUCGUUUAAUGACUAUGUCAAGUAAAUAAUUUUACUUAUUUGGCACCCUAUUUAAUGUGUAUAACACUCUCAUGCAUUGAGACUAGCCUUAUGGAAUGAAACGACGAAGAACAAAUUAAUUAGGGAUCUCAACAGUCAACAGCUCAUCACGUUUCUUCUUUUUGCCGGGGAUUGAACGGAGGAUCAACAAUUUUCUUUUCACACAUUGCACUGCAGCAACAAAGGGGUCAGCGAUCAAUCAAUGGAGCCCUAACAUGGCUCCCAACAAACUUUAUAGAAAGCCCACAAAACCCUUAAACAAACACAUCAUCAAAUGUACUCACUAGACACUUGUAUGUAAACCUACUGUCAAUGAACAUGAAAAUAGCACCUUCCGCGGUUUGUCACUAGAAGGUUUGGUCCUCAGCAAGAGCAUUGGGCACAUAAGGAAGAUAAGACAAAAUUGGAAGCAAUCACCAGCUGAUUAAAUGGUUGUGUACAACACUAUAACGAGAUGAGUUGCUACCUAUUACAAUUUAUAGAGAAAAAAGGGAACUAAAACAACUAAUCUGACACACAUGACACACAGGUGUUCGUACAAAAACACAAAUCGAUGCUAGAAUUCUAGCAACUGCUAAUUUUUAUCAGAUUGUCCGGGGGUUGCAGCCUGAGGAUACUUCAAAAUGGUCCAGCAAACACACAGUCAAACUGGUAUCCUGCAUAAGUAACACAAUUAGAAAUACCAAUUACAGUGUUCUAGUAGAAAAUGCAAAAAGAAAAAUAAACAUGCGCACUAAAAUCACACCUUCCCCUAUAAAGAGAUCAUAGAUAGUCUCUUCAGGUAAGAAUAAUCAGGCCUGUCUUCAAACCACGAUGAACGACAGUAGUGAAAGUAGGAGAUAAACUCUGAUGGAUACGAUUUGCAGAGUACCAAACCCAUAAUAAAGAAUUGAUGAAUGUCGAGAGCUAAUUUAUGAGCCACCUAGACAGGAGUAAGCAUCUAUUUCUCUCUGAUUUUGUCAUAUUUCUGCUUCUUGGUCCUGCUUUCAGCUCCUGCCAUGGUAGGCUGUUCAAAGACAAAAAGACCAAUGAAAUGUUACAUCCAUUCACAGAAGCAUGCAUGGAACCAUUACAUGUUUACAACAUAUGGGUGAAAAGAUCGAUAACAAACAAACCUGCCCCUAAGAAAGUACAUAAGACAUAACCGAGAGAUUCUAGAUCAUCUCUCCUGCUUUGCUCUGCAUCCAAGUAAACUCUGAGAAGGCAGCGGUGGCCGCCAUGGAGACGCUCGAAGGUGCCGCCAAGGACCACUGUAUGCCGGAGUUCCUGCCUGCUCCUCCUUGGACCGGAAGGGGUCAAGAACAGGCAGCUAGAUUUGUUCCCCAGUCCAUGCUUGAAGCAAACACUUGCGAGAGCUGUGAAACAUGCAGGGCAUCACGAGCAGCUGUGAGAUAGGAGGGAUCAAUGAUAGAGAAAACUGGGGCAGGAAUGGUACGUACCUGGGACGGUUGCUGGCGGUGGAGAGGCCAAGUAGCAAAGAAGCAAUGGCACCGGGAUCUUCAAGGUAACCACCAUCCUCAGGGGUCACCCAAACCCCUAAUGGUGCAGGAUCUUGGAGAGGAUGGAGGAGCAGUCCGCUUCACAGCGAUGCACAGUGCCACAGCCUCUGCUCGGGCUUAUGUGCUGGGUGCUGCGACGAAAGGCCUUUCCCUCCUAUCCAAGAUCCACACGGCUACAUGGGCCACGUCGAGAAUCCAAUCCUUCUAACAUAAAUUCUGAUAUAAUCCAGCCCCUUUCUUUGAAGAGCCCAUACAUGAUCCAAAAGAAACAACCCACGAGUUAGGAUUCAAGUUCAGCCCUUAGAACAUGACGGCCCAUUACAAGGCCACGGCACAUGAAAACAUAGGAAGAGUCAAGUAGGGCUAAAAGAUAAAUUCAGCCAAGGAAAGUAUAUCUUUGACCUAUCAAUAGAAACAAGUUAGUUUCCACACCAUCUCUGCAUCACCAUUGGACCGUAAAUACAAGUUCACGUUUGCCUAUCUUGCUUGGUAAAAGAUUAAGGAAUAAGCAAACUAGCAAAGUAAGAAUUCCUUUUUUUUCAAACAAAACAAGUCAUUUCAUGACACAUAUAACUAGGCAAAAUAUUUGCUUGUGUGCAGGUGUAGCUGGAUAGCUUAUAGCUGAUGCAUGCAUUUGCCUGCAUGAACAUGUGCUUUACCAUAGUCACAAAGUUUCUGGGUUGAUGGGGUCGAUGUACUGGGUCGUGAUACUCUACUUGCGAGAUAUUUUCACACUUAGGGUCGAAAAUGAACCCGUGAACCUGGGUCCUUUGUCGAAGGUGGUGAACCCAUUUUAUGUGACUAUGUGCUUUACAUGCAGGUCAAUAGUUUGGCAAGACAGCGAAAUCCAGUAAUAGUAAAGUCUGAAUUCAGAAAUCAUGAUAAGAAUCAGUAUCAUAAACAUGUAAUUGAAAGAUAAUGGAUAGUUCAUUGGCACUAAUUGCACAAGAACAUGUGGUAAAACCAAAUACAAACUAUGAUCUUAGAGCAACUCCAAGAGCUUGGCUAUUCUUGUUGUGGAGGCUAUUUUAAAAUUUACAUAGUAGAAAGUAGGCUCCAACAAAUGUGCUAUCUGGUUUUGUAAAAUAGAAAGUUGGCUAUCCCUUGUUUUUCGGUGGCCAUAUAUAGCCAACCACACUGGCUAUCUGAUUUUGUAAAAUAGCAAGACUUCUGUGGACUUCUUAUUUAAGAAGUUUUAUAUUUUACAAAAUGGCCAAAUAAUGAAAUUUGGCUACUAACUUUAGCUAAGCUCUUGGAGUUGCUCUUAGGAUCUUAGCAUUCUUAGUAAAAUAUACCGAUCGCAUCAUGUAAUGAUGUAAAUGGAUGUCAAAACUUUAGCUAACCUUGUGCUUUGGCACAGUCAUGCUGACCCAGCGAUUGACAGUGGGCAACAGCCCUAAAUGCCCAUCUAAACAUGGCAGAUAUUGCAACUGAACACCGCAAGCUGCAGAGCAACAAACACGGAUACAAAAUACAAAAGGGGUUAGUCAGCCUGUGUGAUGUGGCUUGUUAAGAACAGUGACCAGGCAGUUUCACUUACAUGCUCAAAGUACUAAAUACCAGUUUUAAUAGCAAGGGCUUGCAAUAUGGGUAAAUAGAAUAACUCAUUUUUCUUCUGUACAGCUGUACCCAAUACACGGUAUAGUUCAACAUCUGGAUAAACACCAACAGAUAGCAUGAUUGGUACGAGCAUCAAAGCUUCUUUGGUGAACUGUCUUUUGCAUAGUCGGUUGAUUGCUGCACUGAAGUCUUCAAUAGAUGCCUCAAACCCUGCAUCUAGAAGCUUGCCAAACCACAUAAUGGCCUUGUAAGGCAUCCCUUUUGCACAUUGAGCUUUGAUAAGUGUUAUGUAUGCAAAUUUUCUCAGCUUGGCACCCUGUUUUCUGAAGGACUCCAGUUGCAUUUCAGCAUGAAUAACUAGUCCCUUUGAGCACAACACGUUAACAAGCAAGUUAUAAGUAACAGGUGUGGGCAUCACUCCACGAAAUACCAUUAGUUCAUACACACCGAAAGCAUUUUUGGCGUCCUGCGUUUCACAAAAACCUUGUAUAAGCGUGUUGUAAGGUAUUGGAUCUGCAUCAAAACCUUCUAUACACAUAUCAUCAAGAACAUUCUUGGCAUCAUGGAACAUGAACUGCUUACAAAGUCCUUUAAUAACUACACUGUAAGUUACUGCAUUUGGUUUGAUACCUUUUCCAGUCAUUUCUUUAAAAAGACUUAGCAUGGAAUGAACUUUCCCAGCUUCAGAGAGUGCAUCCAUCAAGGUGGUGUAUGUAACUGUUGUUGGCAGCAGAUCACUUAACUGAAUAGCCGUAAAAUAGCUCUCUGCCAUAUGCAGAUCCCCAAAUUUGCAGUAACCAUAUAGAAGAGAAUUGCAUGUUACAAUGGUUGGGCACAUACCAGCCAUAAUAAUCGCAUCAUACAGCUGAACAGCAUUACCAAUAUCACCCACUUUUGCAUAACCAUCAAUAACUACAUUGUAGAGGACUACAUCGGAUGGCUGAUAUUUGCUAGCUAUAGUUUCCAAAUAUGACCUUGCUUCAUCAAGGAAUCCUUUCUUGCAAAGGCCUAGAAGAAUAGAUACAUGGUUUACUGAAGUUGGAGUUACCCUCUGAGAAGAGCACAUUAGAUUCCAGACUUGAAGUGCUCUUCCAAUUUCUCCUAGCUUGGAGUACCCAUGGAUUAGGAUGGAAUAUGCAAUAACAUCCAAUUCCAGACCAACACUGCAUAUCUCACCAAGUAGGUUUUCGACCUCAUAAAACAGGCCCUUCUUGAAGAGAGCAUUGAUAAGGACGCUAUAUGUGACAAUAUUCAGCUCCAUACCUUGGCCUAAGAUGUCCUUUCUUAUCUUCAUCCCUUCUUCAACAUCACCACCUUCACAGUGGCCAGCAAUAAGUAUAGUAUAAGUAACAAUAUCGGGUUCGACACCUAGGCCCCUCAUCAUCUCAAUCAUUUUUGGAAUUUCUCUUGUAUGACCAUGCAAGCGAAAGCCAUUAAUAAGGCUGUUGCAAGUGACAAUAUCAAGUUCCAUUCCUUCUUCUGUCACACUCUGAAAGAUAUUGAAUGCUUCACUUACAGAACCUAUUUUACAUAGACCAUGUAUAAUGGUUGAAUAUGUGUGCCUGCUCGGAUUUAAUCCAUACUUCAACAUCAGGCAGAAAACUGAUUUUGCAUCCUGAAUGAACCCCCAAUUACACAAUGCAGACAUGAGAGUGUUAAAGGUCAUUCCCAAUGGUAUGAAUUUCCCCUCUUUCCUAAUCUCUUGAAGGAAAGAUAAAGCUUCUCCAAUUUUAUCUUGCUUGCAGAGGCCAUCUAUGAGAAUGCUAUGGGAAUAAUCACUGGGGGGAAUACCACAUGACUCCAUCUCUUUAAAAAUCUCCAGUGCCACAUCUGCCUUUCUUAGACUGUACAACAAACUGUCAUAGGUGGUUAUUGAGAUUUGCAUGUUUAGGCUGCUCAUUUUACUAAGAACAUAAAGAGCAUCAUGAUUCAUCUGAGCUCUAGCAUAACUAUUUGCUAGAGCGUCCCACACAAUGCUGUUUGAAUCCCACUCCUUGAAUCCACUCCACAGAAUAUCACAUAGAGUCGGAGCAGAAUCAGAACCUACAGCAAAAGAUAUGGUAAAAUUGAAUGCAGAAAAGGUUACGUUUAAACGUUUUCUGUGGUUGCAUGCAUUGAGAUACAAAUCCUACCAUUUUCAAGAGAUGUGAAAGAAUAUCUAUGCAUACACUAAGUGACAACCUGCAAAAUUUCCAUGCUAGUGAUCCUGCUAUGAGUUUGCUUUCUGCAGACAAAACUACUACUCCUUUCAUUCCAAAUUAUAAGUCAUUUUGGCUUAUUUAGAUUUAGAUACAUAGCUUUUGCUAUGCACCUAGAUAUAUGCUAUGUCUAGAUACAUAGUUUGCCUCUUCACACUUCCACUAAAUAUACAACUAGCACUCUAGCAGCAUGGAAGUUGCAGCUCGGUAACAGAUGAUCACAAAUUUCAAACAAAUACGAUUACCAGCAUAGGAAUUUCAGUAUAUUAACAGAUUAUCCUAGAUUUAAUAAAAAUAUAAUUAACAGCACGGAAAAUGCAAGCCAGUCUCGGCAAAUACUGUUUCCUUCAGACAAAAUUAAGGGAAGAGCAUGGCAAUUGCAGCUACGAUUGAUGAAUAACUGUGCUUUCAUGUUCCCGGCAAGAGCAACAACUACUUGGAUAUACAAACACAAGCAGUCAAGCCCUCACACCGAGCUCACCUUGUUCGUCCACCAUCUGGGCCAACCCGUCGCGCAUCUCCCGCCACCUAGUCUGCCACAGAAGCUCAUGGCAGUGCCUGAACCGUGCGGCGAUAGAGGUCUUCCGCUCGAGCUCCGCCCUGUCCUCAUCGAGCGUCCCCUGCCGUGCCCAGCCACCCCCAGGCUGUCCACCUCCCGCCCCGCCUGCGCGGGGAGGGGCUAGCGGCGCGUCCCUACCCACAACCGCCUCCUCCUCGGACUCUGUUCCAGCCGCCGACAACGCCGCCGCGGGAGAGUAGGAGAGCGGUCUACGUGGAGGUCUGGGUGGGCGGGGACUAGUGCGGUGCUGGAGGUGAGGCAGGAGGAGGCGGAGGGGGAUGCGUGGUCGAAAGGGCAUCCGAAGUGAGGCAGGGUCUCAUGGCGGGGGAGAGCGACGGCAGCCUUGUGGAACGCCCUCCGUGCGCUUGUCGGCGGUGGCGGCGAGCAUGUGGAGGCGGCUUAGCGGCGGCGCUGCGGUCGGGGUUUUUGCUUGUGUGUGUGGUCGUGGGGAGAGGAAAAGUGUGAAAAUGACUACGGGCCAAAAGAUUUUUGGGCUUGGAGUUAGUGGGCUGAAUGACAUGCCGUCAGACGGCAUCGGGUUAGAGCAAGUUUAAUAAUACAACCCAUUUGCUGGCAGGUUUUUUGCAGCCUUCUCCCAGCCCACCCAUACAAUAGUUAGCUAUUCACUAUUAAUACAUGGCCCACUUAUCUCUCUCACAAGGUUUCUUGGUUCCUGUGCCUAAGCUGGCUGUAAGCUUACAGCCUGCUUCUCCUCUCUCUCCUCCCUUCUCUCCUCCACCUCAGCAUUUAGCCAGCUUACAGCCCACUAUAAUACUUGCUCUUAGUGGGCUGAAUGCUCAUCCAAAUACAACCUCCUUUAAGAUUUAUUUGGGUCUCAUUGAGAAAGAAAGGUCCAUCAUGCCUCGGCUAUGACUAAAGCCCCAUAUCGUCGCCGCCCUCGCUCACCGCCUCCAGGUCUGGUAGAUCGAUCAACCCGACCCAGACAUGAAAGACCAAACCCUAGCCGAUCUUGUGGAAGGAGGCAACGUUGUUGCACCGCCGGGCUCGGCGGCGGCCUCAAGCUCAGAAGGAUUCUCGGGGAGCGGGUCGUCGCCGGGUGCCAUGUCGGUAGAGAUGAAAACGGUACGAAUAUUUUCUGACCGUAUUCGAGACCGAAUUCAUUUAGAGGAGUUCAGAUCUAUCCGUAUUCGAGUCCGAAUAUUCAACAUCUGAUUCCGUAUCCGUAUUCGAAUACUUAAAUCGUAUAUUUAUGAUGUCGAAAUCCAAUCCUAUCUUAUCCGACAUGGUUGAUAUUAUCUGUAUUCGAAUCCGAAUUCGACCAGAAAUAUGAAAACAAAUAUGAUAUCAGUGAUAUCCGUCUGUAUCCAAUCCGUUUUUAUCCCUACAUGUCGGCGCGCGAUGGCAGGGAGGAAGAGGAAGCCCGGGCGAUGGAGGAGGAUCCCAUGCCAGCCCGUGAAAGUUACUUUGGUGCCGACAGGGCUAAGUAAGUUGUCAUUUGUGUGGACGUUUUGGUCCCCUGUGCCGGCCCCUCUGCCUCGAGGGUCAGACGACAAGCGGUAGCGGGAGAAGUUGCCGAGUCCAAGUUUCUGGAACUGGUAUUUGGCAUGGAAGGGUCCAAGGAGGUGCUGGAGGCGAUGGAUCGGGGCAAUCGGGAGAUUCUGGAACAUGCGAAGCAGCUAGAGGAGGCGGACGAGGAUCUGUGCGACACCGAGGAGGACAAGGUCGCCUUCCGUGCCUUCAAGGCCACUGUCGUCGUCUACCGCAAGCUUGUCACCACCAAGCCCGAGGACGUUGUCUUCAGGGACCGACCACCCAGCGAAGAGCACUCACAAUGCAAGACUCUAUCACAGAGUCUAAGAUAAUUAAUUAUAUAUUAUUUAUGAUAUUUUGCUGGUAUGACAGCAUAUUUAUUGAAGAAAGAGGUAGAACAAAUAAGACUCCAAGUCUUAUUUAGACUCUAAGUCUACAUUAUUCGAGGUAAUAAAUAACUUUAGACUCUAUAAUAAAGUUUGCAUUGUGAGUGCUCUAAGCACCACUACUGAUGACUUCUGCCAUGUCUUUUUGCAUGAAAAAAUUGAUAAGUAUUAGGGCAAUACUUCAAAAAAUUUCCAUAGCUGUUGCUUGAUCUGCAGUAGAAAUAUCUCCUUCGAGUUGAGUCUAGUGUGUUCUUUGAUCUCCUGAUGUGUGGAAGACCUGGGUGAUGUACUGAUAUCUGGGACCUAAAUACCUAAUAAUAACUGUAUUUGAUGAUAACAACAAAAUCAGAACCUUCACAUAUGUAUUGCAUAAGAAUGCAGUCUUGGAUUGUAGCAUGCCCAACCUUUGUAACAUUUAGAGUGCAUUUAGAUGCAACUAAAUUAACCUAAUAUGCCACUCGCAGGAGGAGCACUUAACUACAGAGGAGAUGGACGGGGCAUGCCAUUUUGCCAUGCUUGCCUUGGAGCACCAAGAAGAUGGUAUAUUUGCAAGCUUUCUUAACUUGUUUUUAUUUCAAACUGCUUCUGCAAUACAUCUUGUGCUUACCAAAUGUUACCAAAAUAACACAAAAUAAGUUUGUGAUGGCAAGGGUCUUGCUUUCCAAGUGCUUUUCCGAGGCAAAUGGCACGACAUUUGUCCAUGUGAACUUCACUACCACCCCCAGCAAAGCACCUCACACCCUGCUAAGCAUAUGUUUUCCCCUGAGCUAAUGCUUAUCCCAAAUCUCUAGGCAUAGGUACUGAGCCUAUGCGUGUGCUCCAUGUACUCCCUCCAUAUAGGAAAAGUAAGUUGUUUAGGACAUGAGUACGAUUACCAAGGGGUGAUUAAUGAGAGGUUAGUUUUCCUGUCUUGCCCUUAUUAAAUAGAGCUAAGGGUGGUACUUGUACCAUCAUAGACCGCUGGCAAAGGCUCCACGGCCCGAGGCUAGAGCUCCACGUUUUGAGUCCUAGAAGUCGGUGUAUUUUUUCGUAUUGGCCACAAGUUUUGCAUGGCGCUUUUGCGUGGUGAUUAAUGAAGGAGGAGUCCCGAGGGAGACGGGCGGCGUGCAUGAGAGGCGAGUCGAAGCGUUGUGCGGAUGCGUGGACGGACGGGCAUUAAUCGCUCGUGGCCCAGCAUGAGCAAUUGCGUCCAAAUUGCGUUUACAAAGAGUGGGAGUCUCGAGGGAGACAGACGUCGUGCGUAGGAGGUGAAGAAAUGUGGAUAUAUGCUUGAGGCAAAGAAAGAAAUUGCUUUGAGGUUUGACAAUGAUGAGACAAGAUACAAAUCUGUUUGGGAAAUAAUUGACAAAAGGUGGGACAGCAAGCUAAAGAGUCCACUACACUUGGCUGGAUACUAUUUGAACCCUUAUUAUUAGUACCCAAACAAGGCAGACAUUGAGAAUGAUAGCUCAUUUAGAGCUGAUGUAAUUGAUUGUGUUACGACGCUGACUGAUGAUGAAGAAAUUCAAGAUAAUAUCAUUGAAGACCUCAACAAAUAUACAGAACAACAAGGGUCAUUUGGACAUGACAUUGCCACAAGGCGGAGGAGAAAUAAAGACUUCAACCCAGGUGGAAAAUUGUAAAACUAAUGUGAUUGAAGAAUUAUCCAAUAUAAUCCUUUUUGCUAUCACAAGAGUUUAACUCUUUGCUUGUUCAUGCAGCAACAUGGUGGCUGAAUCAUGGCACAACUACACCUAAUUUGAGGUUGUUGGCGAUAAAGAUUCUAUGUUUGACAUGUAGCUUCUCUGGAUGUGAAAGGAAUUGGUCAGUAUUUGAACAGGUAAUAAAAAUAAUUCUACUUCCACAACUCACCUACAUGAAUAUAUUUUGCAUCAUUGUUCAUUCCUUUAAUUUUAUUUAUCUAAACAAAACUAGGUGCACACAAAAAGGCGCAACAUACUACUUCAUGAAAGGAUGAGAGACCUUGUAUUUGUCAAAUUUAACUCCAAACUAAGGCAUAAGAAAGAGAACAAGAGUAGAGAUCCUAUAGAGAAGGAUAUUAAUGAUGUGCUAGAGGAUGACAACAAUGAGUUUAUUACUAGAUUAGAACCAAGUGCAAAUCAAAGUCAAGAAGAUCAGGGAUGUGCAGAAACAUCAACAAAAGCACAAGAAGGAGCUUCACAAGGAGCAGCAACAUCUCAAGCAAAAGCGAAAAGGAAAAGACCUGUGCGCCAUACGAAAAAAUUUAGAACUGUGGCAUCUCUAAUGAAACCUCAGUCCGCAGCCUCUACUUCUGAAUCAGAGGAAAAUCAAGAUGCUAUGGUAUCUACUGAUACUAAAGAUGAUUAGGUGAGUACAACUAACUAUCAGAUGUUGAAAUGCAUGUGUGAUGUGUGUAUCAGACUAUGCCACUAUGGCAUAUGGAUCCAUGCCCUUAUGUUUGUUUGUCUACCUAUCACUAUGCAGUGUAAUGUCUGUCAACUUUGUAUGCACUUUGAACUCGUGUGUACGUGUCUAUGUGAUGUAUCAUGUAUGAACUAUGAAGUUAUGAUCUAAUGUGUUAGUAAGACUUUGAAUUAUCUAUCCCUACUUGGUAGUUGGUAUUUGUAAUGUCUUCAUCUUCUAUGUUUAUUAUGUGCAAAAUUACCUGAUAUUUGACAUAAUUUUUGCUCAACCGCUAAAUGGCUUAGCCCGCUAUUUAGCCCGCUAUAGCCUUUCUUAGCUUUUUGGAGAGGCAGCCGCUAAGAGGCUUAGCCCGCUAUUUAAAACCUUGCCCAUGAUUGAAGGCUAUGAUGUAGACAAAUAUGUAAAGAAAAUAAUGAUCAACGAAUAGAAAACUGUUAACAAUAAAUUGUAUAAGAGGUAUGCCAAUGCAAGCCACAAGCUUGAGCUAAGCAAGCUGCAACACAUGAUUACUACAUCAGAAAGACUUUAAAAGAGCCUUUAUCUUGUUCAUAAUUGAUGUCGUUCUAGCACCAACUAUACAGACCCAUGUCCAUUAGAGUUAUAUACAAGUUGUUCGAGAAGUAUUAGUCUUUCUGAAAUUCAGUUGGCACCAAUUCACUUUGAUCCAUUUAUUAGACUCAUUCCAUAAUUAUAAGACACAUAAACAAACCACCUUAUAGGGCAAUUUGACUCUGCUACAAAAAAUAUGUAAGAUAAAAAAUAAUCAUUGUUUAUAGAUGUUGGUUGUACCAUAUAGAACUGACAUGUAGUUGAGCCAAAUUGCCACAAAAAAUACGUAAGACCAAAAAUAAACAUUGUUUAUAGGUGUUGGUUAUACCAUAUAGAAUUGACAUGCAGUAGAGCCAUGUCCUGUAAUUAUGGAAUGAGUCUAAUAAAUGGGUCAAAGUGAAUUGGCCCCAAUUGAAUUUUAGAAUGACUGAUGCUUUUCGAACAACUUGUAUAUAACUCCAAUUGAUGGUCCUCCAAUGGACAUGGAUCUGUGUAGUUGGUGCUAGAAUGGCACCAGUUGUGAACAAGACAAAGGCUCUUUUGAAGUCAUCAUCCGGAGUUUUUGAUGUAGUAAUCAUGUGUUGCAGCUUUCUUAGCUCUAGCUUGUGGCUUCCAUCGGCAUACCUCUUAUACAUUCAUUGUCCAAAGUUUUUUAUUCACUAUUCAUUGCUUCCAUUGCAUAUUCGUCUACAUGAUAGCCUUCAAUCAGGAGUCCCAUAUAUUACUGACAUCCACAAGAUGAAUAAUAAUAUUUUGAUCAUAUAUAUUAAAACUUUCGUUGCUGACUUCGUAUGCAUCUGCAAGGUCUAGUAUCAUGUUUCUCGUGAGACUCAUCUCUGACAUAUGAAGCAGCCCCCCAAAUCUCAUAGUCUCAAUAGCAUCCUUGUGUGGUUGCUUAAAUUUUGUAUGGCUUUUCCAAAUCUCAUAGAUGAGUUUGUUAAAUGCAUAGAAAAUAUCGCUUCAACGUGCCCUGUUGGAUAAAACAUUAUAGAAAAGACAUUCUGACUUUAGCAAAAUAAUGGAGAAAGCACACAUUGCCCUACUGAAUCUGAUAAGCAUGUUCUCUAUACUCGCAACAUAGCACAUAAAGUCUUACGAAAGGCUCAUGAAGAUUAUGACAAUAUAAAGAACGGACGAUGAAAAUUGACUCAUAGUUUAAUCAGGCAAGGACACAAUUGGUUAAGUUGGAGAAUGAGCGCUCAAAGUUGAAGUCCCUGGUUGAGUCCUUGAUCCAACGACAUGAGGUCCAUGGUAGGAUGAUUGUUGAGGUAACUGUGGUACUCUAUUUUUGCAUUAUAUAGAUAGCUAUCUGAACACCUCGAAUGUUUGGAGUUUAAGGUACAAAAUGGGUUUAUAUGCCACAGACAUACUUCACGAUAGCAGUGGAACAACUACUAUCACCUAGUAUACAAAUUUUUUGUAUAAUUUUUGUGUAAGAACUUGUUGUGCUCACAUGAUCCUUCAAGCGCCCACUCUUUGCCAUAAGAGGCCCAUGACAUGUGUAUUAUAUGUUUGUGACCCCACUAGCAUGUUUAGGGCUCAAUUACAUUGCAUAUAUAGGGAUUACAAAAUAAUGUUUGGGGGCCCUUUGAAGCCUUUAAUGAUAGUUUUUUAUAAAAAUACAAACCCCACCAAAGAUCUAUUUAUAGCCUUUAGUGACGUUUCUAUAAAUGGCAUCACGUAUCUUGUGGGGUUUGGAUUAAAAAAGAGAAUUACAACAACAUUAGACCUCAAAAUGACACUUUACAAGAUAGUGGUGGGAUUUGGAACAUUAUCUUUCUUAAUAAUUAAAUAAUGAAGAAAAAUCCGGUGUCUUCCCACCAUGUUACUACGUUACUUGAAUAAAGUCGUCCUCAAACUUCCACGGUCGAGUACGUGGAUGAAGAAAGCAACAAGUCAGACCCUUCCCCAAACGUCCAAACCGCACACACACAAGGCCCGCGUUUCCGUACGACCCCCGACAAUCCGCGUGCGGGGCUGGAGUCUGAACCCCUAGGCCACAAAAGCCCACGAGGCCACGCCACCACCUUUCAGUUUCAGGUGUCCCCGAUCUCAAACGGCUUUGCUUCGGUGAAGAUCGAUCGAGCACUUGCUAGUUGUCAAGAUCGACCGGGAUCACUCUAUACAUUGAAUCCUGACGAGGAUGGUUUAUAUCUAACAUAUACUUUUCCCGUGUUGGACAGAUGCGUCUAGCGCGGCUCAGAUGCUUCGCGACAUGCAUGGACACACGGAAUGACGCAUGGAAAGCACCAAGGCCCAAAAACUCAACACGUCGCGCGCCCUUUCCCCCCUUUCGCCGCUUCGAUUCUUUUCCUACUCCUGCUAGCAGUAGUACUACACUAGUAUUUAACUUCACCGACGGCAGGUGCCCCGGCAAGCCAAACCAGAAGAAGUCCUGUCCUGGGCCGACCGCCCUUCCGCGCCAUUUAAGCGAUCAGCUCUGCACGCCACGGUCCCUCCCGAGAGCAAGAACGCCGCCGGUAGGAGCAGAGGCAGGAAGCAGCUCCUCGUUUUUGUACCUCAGGUCGGUCGCGUACACAGACGCAGCGUCGAGAUGCAGAUGGUGCUGGUGAUCUCGCUGCCGCUGGUGGCCCUCGUCGUCAUCGUCGCCAUCGUCCUCUGCAUCAUCUGCCGCUGAUCGCCGGGUAUCGCGUCUUCAGGCCGCAGCACCACACAAUCAUGCGCUGCAACGUCGCCGUCGCCUGCGCAUCAGCACCUGACUGUUUUGUGAUUGUCACGACAUAAACAGCGUGCGUGUGUCUCCACUUCGGUGUGUAUUAGUACGAUUUGGGUAUUGAUUGGUUUUUAUUUGGGUCCUUUCGUGUCCUUUUCCUUGUCUCUCUUUUCUUUUUAUCCUUUGACUCCAAAGGCAUCAUCAGAACCGUUUGUGUGUGCAUGCUGUGUCUGCACUAAUAGCUUGUCUUCGUACCUAAGCAACUAGAGGCUUCUCAAGCCCUUUUGAGUCUUGUAUCAGUUCACUGAAUCACUGAUGAGUGACGAAAUGGCCAAUGACCGGUUGGCUUGGCUUCACUCUCCACCGUGUACUGUGUGUGAAGCAACGCAGCAGCAUAGCACCGUCCAGCUAGAUUCAGGCGCCCAGCGCGGCGCCACCGGCCACCGGGGCACGUGGCACGCGUUUUCGCUUAGCCGAUUACAUAAUUUAACGGGCUCCCACCACCGCACCCGUUGGCAUCCAUCGCCCAUCGCCUUCUCCUCCGCUUUAUCGGCUCUCAGGCAUCUUGCCCAGCUCUUCUUCCUCCGUCGCAUCGCAGUCCCCAUACAUUCCUGCGCUCUGUCGCCUCCCUCCCCCACCUCGCUGCUCCGAUCCAGCAAGAGCAGCAAGUACAGCUCCAUCUUCGCGCGCAGGUACUGGUCCCUUCGACUCUGUCCUUCUUGCGCUUCAAUUAUUUUCCAGUCCGCUCGCCGUCGCAGCUUUUAUUACCUCGGCAGUUUCAGGGGCUCCGCCUUUGAUCCUGUAGGUUCAGGUUUCAGGGUUGUUCAUGAUCUGGCCCCCCCAUGGAAUCUUGAAUUCGUAGCCGUGGCUUCUCCCUCCCACCUGCUGUUGUUCUCGACAAAAUCACCCAUCGAUCUUGGUUGCCACCGUCCAUAUAUGCCUUGGCGACUCUAGCUUGUAGUCAAGUCCUGCGAGUGGGGAUACGCUUACGCCUACGACGUCCUUGUUAGAUCAACCAACGCUAGUACGUGUGCUCAUGAAUUUCACAUCGAUUUGAGUAGCUUUCAGCAGAAACGAAAACAGUUGUUUAGAGAGAGCUAGCUGCAGCAGCCAGCACGCAGCAUAUUUUAUAUCGGCUUAGGUUAAGAAAUGGAGUGGUUGAGGGAGCAAGAACUGUGCCUCACUAUUAUUCUGGACAAAGUUCCAGACGCAAGAGUCAUGUGUUGACUAAGGUGACUGAUCUAGGCGAGACUUUGGUGUCCAAGUUUGACUGCGUCCAACUACUAGAGAUUAGCGAAGCAGUAGUGAUCCAUAAGCUCUUAGCCUCUUACGAGGAGCAGAAAAAACCUACUGCACUUCUAGUGCGACUGGCUGAGGGAGAGAAAGAAGAUGAUACCUUCUACUCGCAUGUCAGCUAGCCAAGUCCUAGACUAGAGGGGGACCAGUAGUGAACCAACACCUCCUAACAGCCUUCUGUGAUGUGUUGUUCUGUUCUGAAAAUCCAAAGGCAGGUUUAUUUGACCCAAAGCGCCACACUGAUCAAGAAUCAAUUCGUACCGGCCGGCGGGCAAGGUGCGCCGUUUCCAUUGGGGAAUCGGAUCCAUUACCUUUCCAACAAUAAGGCACUGUUGUGCCUUUGUCAGUUGUCUAAGCAAAAAGCAGCAAAGAUCGAGGCGGUUGACAGGUUCCUCUAGAGGUCCAAUGCGCCUGAAUUCUCUGCGAGUCCGUGACUGUUUUUGCAACAGACACUCAAAUCAAAUGUAGUGGCUGAUGAUCAAGAAUACGGAUGCCAUUCUGAAUAUAUUAUACUCCUAACUCGUUGUGCUAAUAAUGGGCCAGCCCUGCAAGUUAUAGAAUCUGGCCAGUCUAACUACUAAAACCACCGUAUACAGGUGGUGGCAAUUUUUUUUUUUUUUUGCCAUUUGCUAGUCGUGAAAGUAUAAGGUUCCAUCUCAUUUUGCAGGGCCAGGGAGGUCAGAUGGAGUUCGUGCUCAUCAUUUCACUGCCGCUGCUCAUCCUGAUCAUCAUCGUCGCCGUCGUCCUCUGCAUCAUCUGCCGUUAGGCUGAACAUGCACAUAGAAAAAUAUUCAUCAGCCCCGUCUCUGCUGUGAUGAUCAUAUCAUCAUACCAUGUGCUAGUGCUAAAUUGACUUUGUACAACAUGACCUGAUAAAACCCUUUUUUUCUCUGCAUUACCAUGUGAUUAAUCGGCUGUAGCUCUAUACAUUGUUUCUUUUUUCUUCUCUCUCUUUUUUUUCCCCUAAAAAAAGAGGCUUCGAUUCGAUCCCGCGUGUCAGAUUGGUUGCCUUUCCGUUAUUCUGCAUCCUUCGAGACCCGAGAAAUGUGUUUUGAGGGGAU